GGGGAUUUGGCUCAGUGGUAGAGCGCUUGCCUAGCAAGUGCAAGGCCCUGGGUUCGGUUCCCAGCUCCG
rnacentral:tRNA from 1 species